UAACGGGAAAGUCGGCUUCGGCUGGCAAGUACCGUGGCGAACGGGUGAGUAACACGUGGGUAAUCUAACCUCGAGUUUGGGAUAACCUUGCGAAAGCGGGGCUAAUACCGAAUAAGACCACGCCGUGUUCGCACGGUGCGGUAAAAGGCGGCCUCUUCAUGUAAGCUGUCACUUGAGGAUGAGCCCGCGGCCUAUUAGCUAGUUGGUGGGGUAACGGCCUACCAAGGCGACGAUGGGUAGCCGGCCUGAGAGGGUGUACGGCCACACUGGCACUGAGAUACGGGCCAGACUCCUACGGGAGGCAGCAGUGGGGAAUUUUGCGCAAUGGGGGAAACCCUGACGCAGCAACGCCGCGUGAGCGAUGAAGGCCUUCGGGUCGUAAAGCUCUUUUAGUGGGGAAGAAUUCCACCCGGGCUAAUACCUCGGGUGUCUGACGGUACCCACAGAAAAAGUUCCGGCUAACUACGUGCCAGCAGCCGCGGUAAUACGUAGGGAGCAAGCGUUGUUCGGAAUUAUUGGGCGUAAAGAGCGCGUAGGCGGUUCGGUAAGUCUGAUGUGAAAUCCCAGAGCUCAACUCUGGAACUGCAUUGGAUACUGCCGGGCUUGAGUGUGGGAGAGGA
rnacentral:rRNA from 1 species